AAAGGGAGACCUAAUUUAGGUAAAAGACGAAAAAAAAGUAGUCGCUACCAAGAAUCAAUCCCAAAAGGUCGGAGCGAGGCGAAAUUGGCUUUCAAACUAGGUUCUGGGUUCAAACAAGACCUGAAUCAGGAACAAGGGCUAUUAGCUCAGGUGGUUAGAGCGCACCCCUGAUAAGGGUGAGGUCCCUGGUUCGAGUCCAGGAUGGCCCACCUGCACAGGUGGCAAAAACAAGAGAAGCGAGGAAUCAGCACCUUAUCUUACUUAUAUAGUAAGAGAGAAUGCUGGCUCUGAGUAAAGAGUCCAGAGGAACCUUGAAAACUGCAUAGAGCUAGGUGAAAAAGCCAAAAAAGAAGACCGCAAG
rnacentral:tRNA from 1 species